GGGAGGCGUGUGUGUGUAGGGGUGUGUGUAGGUGUGUAAGGGUGUGUAUGUAGGUGUAUGAGUGUAGGUGUGUGUGUAGGUGUAUGAGUGUAGGUUUGUAUGUGUAGGUGUAGGUUGUGUAGGUAUAGAUGUAUGUGGUGUGUGUAGGUGGUGUGUGUAGAUGUGUGUGGUGUGUGUAGGGGUGUGUGUGCAGGUGUAUGAGUGUAGGUGUGGUGUGUGUAGGUGUGUGUGGUGGGUGUAGAUGUGUGUGUGGUGUGUGUAGGUGUAUGAGUGUGUAGGUGUGAUGUGUGUAGGGGUGUGUGUAGGUGUAUGAAUGUGUGUGUGUAGGUGUGUGUGGUGGGUGUAGAUAUGUGUGUGUGGUGUGUGUAGGGCUGUGUGUGUAGGUGUAUGAGUGGAGGUGUGGUGUGUGGAGGUGUGUGUGGUGGGUGUAGAUGUGUGUGUGGUGUGGGGGUGUGUAGGUGUAUGAGUGUGUAGGUGUGGUGUGUGUAGGGGUGUGUGUAGGUGUAUGAGUGGAGGUAUGACGUGUGGAGGUGUGUGUGGUGGGUGUAGAUGUGUGUGUGGUGUGUGUAGGGGUGUGUGUAGGUGCAUGAGUGUGUAGGUGUGGUGUGUGUGUAGGGGUGUCUGUGUAGGUGUAUGAGUGUAGGUGUGUGUGGAGGUGUGUGUGGUGGGUGUAGAUGUGUGUGUGGUGUGUGUGUAGGUCUAUGGGUGGAGGUGUGGUGUGUGGAGGUGUGUGUGGUGGAUGUGGCGGCUGGUGUAGAGGGAUGAGGCAG
rnacentral:lncRNA from 10 species